CGGACGGACAGACAGACAUCCGGAUUUGAACUUUACUCGUCACCCUGAUCACUUUGGUAUAUAUAACCCUAUAUCGAACUCGUUUAGUUGUAGGACUUACAAACAACCGUUAUGUGGACAAAACUAUAAUACUCUCUUAGCAACUUUUGUCGCGAGAGUAUAAAAAUGAUCAGGGUGAAGAGUGGAGUUCAAAUCCGGAUGUCUGUCUGGCCGUCCGUCUGUCCGUGCAACGGAUAACUUGAGUAAAAAUUGAGAUAUCUUAAUGAAACUUGAGGUCGGCAAAAAUCCCCCGCUGAAUCCUCCGCGAGGGUACCGCCUGGUAAUAGUUACCACAGUGUCGCAACUGUGGAGGGAACUGUCCGGUAACGGUCUGUCCCCACCACAGUCGCGAGGUAUCUAGCUAAGGUGCGACUCCGUUGUUGAGUGUUUGUUGCUCUUCAAUAGCACAGCAUUCGGUGACGCAGUCGUAUCAUAGUAGGGGGUACAACAAAGUGCUGGAUCAAGGUGUCAUGCGACCCGUGCCGAGGAUCAACCUGGCUGGGGGCCCAUUAAUAUCCCAGUCUCGAACGGAGCUUACGGAUACCUGGCGCCCUCCGUAAUAAGAUAGCCUUGCUUGCGUAUCGGGAGCUAUGCGCAAGUGAGCAUUUAUUCCCCUACACUCGUGGGUCCAAAAUAUGAACACAUCAAUUAACAAAAAUGGAAAAUCAGGGGAGUCCGGUCCUCGCUUAAUAAAGAGGGAAGGAGCGGAUUGUUCCGAGAGAAGAGCAGCGUUUGCAACGAGCUCUAAGACAGUCAGCACGAAGGCAGUGGCUAUGCCUCGUCUGAAUGUUAAGGCUGGCACCAGUACUGGAACUACAGUUAAGCCAGGUUCCAGCAAGGCAACAACAACCGCGGCACCCGGAGCCAAGCCUACCAACCAGAGGCAGAAGGCAAAGGGAGAAGCCAAAAGUUUAGUUGCUGGUGCAGUGCCGAAAGAAUGGCCUACCCUCAAGGUGGAAGAAUCAUCGAAGGCGAAGUAUGCAGAGAGGAAACGCGCUGCAUACAUUCUAAGAAGAGCUCACCUGCAUCCACCAACCAAGGAGGAGCUCACUAAGGGGCUCGAAGAAACCAUAGAGUGUGCAAAAGCGGUUCUUCCCAAUUUUAGCAUAGAACCGCCAGCAGGAGCAACAAAAAGACAGAGGUCAGCUGAAGAGGCUAAGACGUCGGCUAAACGACCGAAAAUAAAGGAGACGCCUAAUAAAUCGUUUGCGGAUGUGGCCCGGAACCGCAUGAGGGAGAUCCCGAAGACAGAAUUCCCGGAACCCAAUGGAUAUGGGUGCAAGCUGCGCUGGCUAACGUGGCCCUGGAAGUGCUACUAAGCAAUCCAGGUCCACCGCCGUCAUGCACAGAUGCCGGUUGGUACCAGGGCCAAAAUAAAAUAGUAGCAUGUGACGACGAACGAUCGGUCCAGCUCUAUAAAGCCGCCUUAGCGAAAGUGGGAGAGGUAUAUCCUGGGGCCAAACUAAUAGCGGUAGACAGGAAAGAUAUACCGUCUAGACCAAGGGCACGAGUGUGGAUACCGGCUACACCAUUUCAGCCGGAUCCAAUUAUGCAGCUGAUCAGGGCUUGCAACCCUAACCUACCAACGGAGGGUUGGAAGUUCGUUAAGGCAUUCGACGAAGCGACAACCGAAUCGGGCGUGGAGACCAAAAGGCCCACAAUGCAGAUUUUGUUGUUGCUAACGAAUGACGCAAUCGAACCGCUGAACAAAAGUGGCGGUGAAAUCAAUUAUGGCUUCACUAAGGUCAAGGUGAAGACAUUUAAAGCAGAUGCCGGUGCUAUCGACCAUCUUACCUCGGAUAAAGAGAUGGGUGAAGUGGAGGAAGAUCCUAUUUAGUCCUCGAGCGAUGUCGAUAGCCUCGAACAAGCAAAGUAGCGUCAGUAGCCCUAAUUAACCGCAUGACAAUAGAUCAGCCUGACUUUGUCCUCAUUCAAGAGCCACGGGUUAAUGGAGGGCGGAUUUGCGGCGCCAAACUAUAAAAUUUACAUGUCACAUUGUGAAGUGACUUGGACACAACGGCAGUAAGCUGGGAGACGAGCAGAGGUAACUACCGGCUUGUCUCUUGCUACAUGCCGUAUGGAGCAGGUACCAUCUCUGCUGAUAAAAAGACUGGUGCAAGAAAGCGAGGCGUCCAGGAGUGUGUUAAUACUUGGAUGCGACUCCAAUGCACAUCACUCACUAUGGGGCAGCUCAGAUAUCAACA